rnacentral:lncRNA from 1 species
GAAAAUAUCAGUUUGUAGACUGAAAGUAUUUAUGACAUGUAAUUCCAAAUUUUCCUGAAACCCAGAUAAUAGCAAGGCCCAGAACAUUUUUGCUGCCUAAGAAAUUCUUUAAACAUACCAGUUUCUGUGUCCCCAGUCUCCUUUCCUUGUAACAGUCAGUGUCAUCCAGGAGGACGGGUGCCCGAGUCAGUCCAUAUUCAGACUUACUCACUUGUCACCAGAUAGUUUGUUUAAACCAAGAUCCAAUCAUAGAUCACUCUUUUUGUUGUUGUUGUUGUUAUUAUCUCUUAAGUUUCUCUCUC